GAUGAACGCUGGCGGCGUGCCUAAUACAUGCAAGUCGAGCGAACAGACGAGGAGCUUGCUCCUCUGACGUUAGCGGCGGACGGGUGAGUAACACGUGGAUAACCUACCUAUAAGACUGGGAUAACUUCGGGAAACCGGAGCUAAUACCGGAUAAUAUAUUGAACCGCAUUGUUCAAUAGUGAAAGACGGUUUUGCUGUCACUUAUAGAUGGAUCCGCGCCGCAUUAGCUAGUUGGUAAGGUAACGGCUUACCAAGGCAACGAUGCGUAGCCGACCUGAUAGGGUGAUCGGCGACACUGGAACUGAGACACGGUCCAGACUACUAAGGGAGGCAGCAGUAGGGAAUCUGCCGCAAUGGGCGAAAGCCUGACGGAGCAACGCCGCGUGAGUGAUGAAGGUCUUCGGAUCGUAAAACUCUGUUAUUAGGGAAGAACAAAUGUGUAAGUAACUAUGCACGUCUUGACGGUACCUAAUCAGAAAGCCACGGCUAACUACGUG
rnacentral:rRNA from 1 species